ACACCUUACUUUGGCACAAUUGCUAUUCAGCUCUGUGUGAAAGCAAAGUGGGCAUAUGCCCUGUGGAGAUGGCGGCUUUCUCCCAUCUGACACAACCAUCUUCCCUCCCUUUCCCUUCUCAAUAUUUGUGGAACUUAAGAGUGUUUUGUGAAAGUUGAACUUCUUCUUGUCAAAUCCAGACAGAAGUGGAGCUGGAGAUGAGGGAAGGGUGAAUACUGAGGUUAGAAGCUACGCCCACAAAGUCUCACCAACAUGACUGAUCAGACUUGAGCUGGACAAGGAAGACACCGAUGGACAUGAGAGUGUGGACAAGGAAAACCCAAAAAGACCUCAACCCUACACAAAGAAGAAUGCUGGGAGUGGGCAAGCUAGUUUUCUCCAGGGAAGAGCACACCAAUUAAUUGUCUAGUGCCAAAUGGUCUGCCUUGAAAACAUACAUA
rnacentral:lncRNA from 1 species